rnacentral:rRNA from 1 species
UACGUAGGAUGCAAGCGUUGUCCGGAUUUAUUGGGUUUAAAGGGUGCGUAGGCGGAAUAUUAAGUCAGUGGUGAAAUCCUGCAGCUUAACUGUAGAAUUGCCAUUGAUACUGAUAGUCUUGAGUCUAGUUGAGGUGAGUGGAAGGUGUAGUGUAGCGGUGAAAUGCUUAGAUAUUACACAGAACACCAAUUGCGAAGGCAGCUCACUAAGCUAUAACUGACGCUGAGGCACGAAAGCGUGGGGAGCGAACAGG